AUCCAACUGACAAGUCCCGAAUAGGACGAAAUACGCAUCCUGGAU
rnacentral:hammerhead_ribozyme from 1 species